UAGACCAAUCAGGUGGCACGCGGGAAGCCACUUUGGUGAUUUAGCCAAUGAAAUGUAUCCUUGCUCACUGAGCCACGCCCCCAUAUCUAUCCUCUUGUCCUGCAGGCUUGAGGGAGAGACAGUGAGUCGGUGUGAGGUACAGAAUGAGGAAAGUGAGGAAGGGGAUUCCAACAGAGGCGCGAGUAAUAGGGGGAGACUAUGAGGGACUGGACGGAUAGACAAGGGAAUGGGGAGCUGCAGUCAGAGGCCUGUGGCCAAAGGCUUUAUAUACUUAUAUUUAUAUACUUUAUUCAAGUCACAUGUUUUUUUCCUUCUGUCAGAGUGAAUUUAGCCAACGACCCCAACAGCACGUGUUAGAGCUCAGCAGGUGUGAGUGUUAGAGUUGAGCAGGUUCGAGAGUUCUGCAAGUGUUAGAGCUCAGCAGGUGUGAGAGUUCCACAGGUGUUAGAGCUCACCAGGUGUGAGUGUUAGAGUUGAGCAGGUUCGAGAGUUCUGCAAGUGUUAGAGCUCAGCAGGUGUGACAGUUCCACAGGUGUUAGAGCUCAGCAGAUGUGAGUGUAAGAGUUGAGCAGGUUCGAGAGUUCUGCAAGUUUUAGCGCUCAGCAGGUGUUAGAGCUCAGCAGAUGUGAGUGUUAAGAUGGCCAUAGACACAAAGAUUCGAUCGUAUGAAUCAUCGUACAAUCAGACUUCCCCAUCUCCCGACCUGCCACUUACCAUUCCGAUCAAAUUCCUUCCAUCUCCAAGUCCCAUUACCAACCCAUUCACCCACACGAGGUCCCCUACCGGAGGUUAGACGGUAGUGACACAACGGUCAAUAGGCAACAGCGGGUAACUUAUCUAGUCAAAGUGCAAGCCUUCGCCUCAAAGUGUCUUCCCAGCAGCUAAUUGGUAGCUAUGGAUUGUUACAUGGAGAAUGCCCCUCCGUGUUCUGUAGAUCUACAACCCCUUCACCUACAGAGCAUCCCCUUCCAGAGGUAACAAGCCGAACUCAUGCAGCCGUGAGAACAGUUGGAUUGUCUGCCUGCCUGUAGUGCUUCCCUAGGAUCUGAAGCACUUUCCGGUGUCUGGGUAACGAUCAACGUCAACUACCCCUUCUUAAACCAAUGAAGCCAACACAAAACAUCCCUCCCGUUAAGGUGGUAAUCUUUUGCCCCUAUGAGUCUUUUUCAGACGCCCUGCCCAACCGUUAUUAAAAAGAUGCGCAUUUUGCCUGCUUGCAUGUGGGCUUUGUCAACGGCUGUGAGAGUUAGAGUUCAUCAGGUGUUAGAGUUCACCAGGAGCCAAAGUUGUCAAAUUCCAGCUUGUUUCAUUCGUUGUGACUUCCUUUGUCGCCAGCUCUGAUCCUAGAUUCCCGUUUCUCGGCACCCGUCCCACAUUGGAGUGUUAGUCAGAGACCAGACGAUGUGAUGGAUAUUUGAUUAUACCUGAAAUAAUGACCCAGAGCUGUUUCCAUGGUUGGGCCUUUGGUUCCAGUGAAAUCUUAAAGCUACAUGGAACAAGGAUAUUCCGGAUAAUUCCAUGCUUCCUACUUUGUUUCCUACUACUGUUUCAGCACAUUAAUGCCCCCCCCCCCAUGCAAAGAGCCAGGUCCCUACAGAAUGGGUUUUCCGGAGAUGGUAAGAACCUGACUGCACAGAGGCACGAAAAGAGGAAAAACACGACCUCAAAUUUUAAUAAAUGUGUUCCUUAGAUGAUUAUAUACCAAGGAUCCCAGUUUAAUGCAUCUGUAAAGCCAAAUUACCUCUGAAUUUUCCCAACAUUAACUGGAUCGGCGCAAAUCAUUGACCACCAGACUUUGUUACCGGAAAACAGAUUUAUCAAAGACAAAUUUUUCUAAAGCAGCUUGUGACUUAGAAGAUCACAGAAACAUUCAGAACAUCUCAUGAAGGUGCUUGUUUGACGGACGAGAAACAUUGAAGCUUAAAAACUAGGCCAAAAAAACA